UCCAGAGUCACACUUUCCCCUCUCUUUCAUGGUUAAGAUGAAGCAUCUGCUGCCUGCUAUCUUGAUUAUCAUCAUAAAGAGUGAGAAUUUAAAAGCUAGAAGGAUAGUAAAAGUGUGCAGCAAGCACUUGAGAGGGUCAACUGAUCCUGUGGCUCUACAUGGCAAGGUGGAAGUUGUGCCCACCUAUAUUCUAUUUCUCGAUUGUGGUCCCAGUCUCCCCAUGGAACUGGAUCUGUGUGCGAGCUGACUGAACUUAAGAUGACUAUCACCCUAAGCUGAGUGCUUCAUCCUACAUCAGACUCUCCUCAGAAGGGCUGACUGCAGCUGAGAUUUCUCAGCUUCUCUGCUGGGUUUCACCACUUCCAUCUCAGUACACAAGGCCCACUGGAUUCAGCUGCUCAGCCAUGUACUGGUGGAGCUGAAGAGAAGCAGUGCGUAUGAAAGAUUGGCCCGUGACACACAGCCGUAUGGAAGAAAUUCCAGGUCAUUUCUGACCCCUUAUCCUUGAGAGAGGAACUCUUUUCUAAUGGAGAAAUACUGUCCUCUUUUUCACCUCCAGAUAGGGCAAAUCAGCACACUCUCUACAUCAGUAAACUGUUUUUUUUAAUGUACGUAAGAAGAAAACCCUGUUUUUUCCUCUGAUGCAUGAUG